rnacentral:rRNA from 1 species
AUUGAACGCUGGCGGCAGGCCUAACACAUGCAAGUCGAGCGGAUGACGGGAGCUUGCUCCUUGAUUCAGCGGCGGACGGGUGGGUAAUGCCUAGGAAUCUGCCUGGUAGUGGGGGACAACGUUUCGAAAGGAACGCUAAUACCGCAUACGUCCUACGGGAGAAAGCAGGGGGCCUUCGGGCCUUGCGCUAUCAGAUGAGCCUAGGUCGGAUUAGCUAGUAGGUGAGGUAAUGGCUCACCUAGGCGACGAUCCGUAACUGGUCUGAGAGGAUGAUCAGUCACACUGGAACUGAGACACGGUCCAGACUCCUACGGGAGGCAGCAGUGGGGAAUAUUGGACAAUGGGCGAAAGCCUGAUCCAGCCAUGCCGCGUGUGUGAAGAAGGUCUUCGGAUUGUAAAGCACUUUAAGUUGGGAGGAAGGGCAGUAAGUUAAUACCUUGCUGUUUUGACGUUACCGACAGAAUAAGCACCGGCUAACUCUGUGCCAGCCGCCGCGGUAAUAC